GGCCGGGUGGCGCAAUGGUAGCGCGUUGGUUUUCGGUGGUCAGCAACGGAGUCUAGACAACAAGUCUAGCUACGGAAUAUGUGUGGACCAGAUAUACCAAAGGUUGCGGGCUCGAGUCCCGUCUCGGUCG